GGGCAAGAGGACUCCUGUCCUGGGUGAAGACCUUGCUUGGCUGGGUGUGUAGCCUGCAGGGAUUUGCUGCACAGCUGAGGCCAGAUUGGCACUGUCCUGCUGUGUUGUGCAGGGGCCUCAUGCAGGGCUGUGAGGGGGUGUCUCCAGGGAAGAGAGUGCCUGGCUGCUGUUCAGCCAGCUGCUAGGGCAGCAGGGCCCUGAAUGGCCGUUGCAGUGAGCACCAUAAAACCAAGGCACUGGUUUGAUAUUUUUAUUGCUACAUGGUGUUUCCCUGCAGUGGACUAGAACAAAGGUCCCUAUUGCACAUUGUCAGGUUUUUUGGCAUCCUUAAAAAUUGCACAAGACUUCAGCCAUGUUCCCUCAUUCCCCCUCCC